rnacentral:lncRNA from 1 species
AAGCUUGGCUGGAAAAGUAAUUUUCUUUGCAUCUAUUUUUGGCAGUCGAUCUAUUUUUAUUGACUUAAAUACUCAUGCCCACUUCUCAUUUUAGAAAUUGCUAUUGUGACCUCAGUUUUUGAGAUUAAUGGGUUUGUCUAUUUUGUAUCUGCAAUUCAUAUCAUAUCUUGAUUGGUAGUUUUUGGAUAAGUAGAUAAUUAGCUCCUCAGUUGGUUUAAUUCGACAUGCUUAGUUGAGCGACCAUUAUAAGAGUAGUGUUUAGGGUUGGGUAGUUUCUUUCCAUUUUGGAAAAUUGAAUGUAGCAUGGGUUUCCUAGAUUCUUUUCUUGUUUAUCCAACUAAUAUGUAUUUAGAUGAUGUGUAUUCCGAGUUAUAUAUGCCAAAAGUAUUAUCAUUUCAGGUCAGCAACAGGAGAUCUCGCAGAUGGUUGAACGAUCGUCUUUUAAUGGAACUUGUUCCUCGUUUAAAUGCAGAAGAAAUUAGAGGGUUGUUUGCCCCACCACCUUUUGGUAAGAUAUUUUUGGGUGUGAUAUUAUUCCGUAAUUGAUCAUUUCCUGUUCCUAAUGUACAAAUGAUGUACAUUUUACCGUUGGUUUCUUUUGGAAGCAAGCUUUGGAGACAGUUCGUCACCUUCCCUAAUACUGAUAAAACAUAAGGUGCCCAGGUUACACUGAUAGAACAUAAUGGACCCUACGCAGCACGAAUUUGGAUUAGUCGGGCUAAUGGGUUCUGAAUACUAAAUGGUUGUACCAAAAAAAAAGAAUCAUUAUCUGAGCCAAAAAAAAAAACUAACGUGAGUCAAUUUGGAUAAAGCUUGUGGCGUCAGAGCUGGAUAUGCAGUUUUAAUCAUCUUUUGGUACUACAGCUGUUCUUAAUUUUCUAGCUGCUAUUAGUAGAGGUUAAGUUUCUACAUUCAUUGUCUUCGCUGAAGUUGAAACAUCUUGAAGCAAAAGAAAAUACAUUUUCUAGCAAAGAAGGAUGCCUGCCUGGCCAAGAUUAUUUAGCACAAUGAUUUUUGCACAUACACUUCUUUCUUGUUAAAAGAAAAAAAAAUAUUAGCAUACAUACUGCAUGGAGAUUUCUUUUUGUCCAGGGAAACAGUUGUAUCAUCCUUCAUCUUUUGUUCUGAACAUGAUACAUUCGUGCAUAUAUGUCUUCUUUUUCACAAUUUGUUUAUUUUAAAGAGCACAAAAUAUGUUAAUAUUAAAUAGGAAAACAAGAAAAAGGAAGAAAUGUUGUAUCAUUGCACCAAAAAUUAUUAGGGCUUUGUGUUCAAAUAUCUUGAAGUAGAAGCAGAAGUGCCGUAUGUUUUGAAGCAGGGUUGUGAAUGUGAUAAUGGCCAAGUUAUAACUCAUGGUUGUGAUUUUAUAUUUUUACAUUGCAUCUCAUCUUGGCCAUAUAGAAGCUCUUCGGCUGUUCAUAUUCUUUUGUCAAAUAUAUAUACUUUUCAAUUGAACUUUUUUUUCUUCAAGAAUAAGUACUUUUUCAUUGAACUUAUAACACGCUAAAUUUUAUUUCUGAUAUUAACAUAUUGAUAUUUCUUUUUCUGCAGGUGAUGAUGUGCCACCCUCAGUAUUUUGCUUGACGAAUGUGGAGGAGUGGGAUAAAUUCAGGAAUAUAGACAUGGAUAAGGAGGUGUUUUCCUGUUUCCGUAAAGUGUAUUUACUUCCUAAAAACCUGGCAACAUUUACUUCGAGUAGUGUUUAUAUUAAAAACUAUGACUUCUUUCUACGCUAUGUAUUUUCACCCCCUUCUUUUUUUGAUAAGCAUGCAUUCUUUCCUUUGGUUUUCCUGGCGAAUGAUUUCCUUAGGACAAUUAGGCAAUAUGAAAGGCCUGUUGUUACUUCAUAGUUAAAUUGAACUACUUAUUAAAGCACAGUUCAUUAUUGAUUACUAUAUGAAAUUCUUGAUUAACUCUUGAUGAAGUAUGUCUUCACCCCUUUGUUUCAAAAGUUUGCAUUUUUAUUUAAUUCAAUGUAGUGACGCUCUUUCUUGGAAUUUGACUUGUGAUGUUGCAAAAUUGUCUUAUGGUCUUCUAUAUGCUCAUAUUUGGUUAGGCUACCAUAAUGGAUGCUCUUGAAGGUAAAACAUCGAAGCGAAAAAAUUGCAUGGAUAAUGAUAAGGUUGCGGUAUUGACUGCAUGGCAUAGAGUGGAUUGUCGAACAAGAGAGGCACUUCGACGUAACUUUCUCCCUGAAUUGGUCAGCAGCUAUGAGGUAUUGUUCCUGAAAAUUAUUGGGCCCCUUGUCUUCAAUUUGUUCUUCUGUAUGCGUUGUUCUUAUGCAAAUGUUAUUCAGCUAUUGCAUCUGUUAUUGUUCUGAAGAUGUUGCAGCAAACACCGACUUGAUAUGUAUUAAGGUUCUGAUAGAAGUUUAGCUUGUUGAGCCUCCAAGGGAGGUGGCCAGUGAUUGCUGAGUUGAAUUGACAACAUUUGGAACCCAUAUUCGAGUUCCAGUAGAGCCGACAAUGAACUCUUCUCAUCUAUCUAAGUUCAUGGGGAGAGUUACCUC